rnacentral:rRNA from 1 species
UUGUUGCCUCGGCGGAUCAGCCCGCUCCCGGUAAAACGGGACGGCCCGCCAGAGGACCCCUAAACUCUGUUUCUAUAUGUAACUUCUGAGUAAAACCAUAAAUAAAUCAAAACUUUCAACAACGGAUCUCUUGGUUCUGGCAUCGAUGAACAACGCAGCAAAAUGCGAUAAGUAAUGUGAAUUGCAGAAUUCAGUGAAUCAUCGAAUCUUUGAACGCACAUUGCGCCCGCCAGUAUUCUGGCGGGCAUGCCUGUUCGAGCGUAUUUCAACCCUCAAGCACAGCUUGGUGUUGGGACUCGCGUUAAUUCGCGUUCCCCAAAUUGAUUGGCGGUCACGUCGAGCUUCCAUAGCGUAGUAGUAAAACCCUCGUUACUGGUAAUCGUCGCGGCCACGCCGUUAAACCCCAACUUCUGAAUGUUGACCUCGGAUCAGGUAGGAAUACCCGCUGAACUUAAGCAUAUCAAUAAGCGGAGGAAC